CCUACGGGGGGCACCAGUGGGGAAUCUUGCGCAAUGGGCGAAAGCCUGACGCAGCGACGCCGCGUGGGGGAAGAAGGCCUUAGGGUUGUAAACCUCUUUCAGCAGGGACGAAGCCACUCGGGUUAAUAGCCCAGAGGGUGACGGUACCUACAGAAGAAGCCCCGGCUAACUACGUGCCAGCAGCCGCGGUAAUACGUAGGGGGCAAGCGUUGUCCGGAUUUAUUGGGCGUAAAGAGCGUGUAGGCGGCCGCACAGGUCCGUUGUGAAAACUGGAGGCUCAACCUUCAGACGUCGAUGGAAACCGUGCGGCUAGAGUCCGGAAGAGGAGAGUGGAAUUCCUGGUGUAGCGGUGAAAUGCGCAGAUAUCAGGAAGAACACCCGUGGCGAAGGCGGCUCUCUGGGACGGUACUGACGCUGAGACGCGAAAGCGCGGGGAGCAAACAGGAUUAGAUACCCGCGUAGUC
rnacentral:rRNA from 1 species